rnacentral:rRNA from 1 species
AUUGAACGCUGGCGGCAUGCUUUACACAUGCAAGUCGAACGGUAACAGGCCUUCGGGUGCUGACGAGUGGCGAACGGGUGAGUAAUGCAUCGGAACGUACCUAUGAGUGGGGGAUAACGCUGCGAAAGGAGUGCUAAUACCGCAUAUUCUCUGAGGAGGAAAGCGGGGGACCUCUGGGCCUCGCGCUGAUAGAGCGGCCGAUGUCUGAUUAGCUAGUUGGUGAGGUAAAGGCUCACCAAGGCGACGAUCAGUAGCGGGUCUGAGAGGAUGAUCCGCCACACUGGAACUGAGACACGGUCCAGACUCCUACGGGAGGCAGCAGUGGGGAAUUUUGGACAAUGGGGGGAACCCUGAUCCAGCCAUGCCGCGUGUCUGAAGAAGGCCUUCGGGUUGUAAAGGACUUUUGUUGGGGAGGAAAACUCUGGGGUUAAUACCUCUAGAGGCUGACAGUACCCAAAGAAUAAGCACCGGCUAACUACGUGCCAGCCGCCGCCGUAAGAC